AUGUUUAUUGUGCUGGGUGUUCUUGGAGGCACUGAGGAUUCAGCAGUGAACGAAACAGACCUGAUCCCUGUCCGAAAGUCUCUGAAGGAGGGUGAAGGCAGGUUCAUGGGGAGGAAAAACACCAGUCGAGAGUAUAUAAGAAAAAGAGAUUUAUUUACUAUAUAUAUAUAUAUUUACAUUACCAUCCACAUCAACACCGGCAUAAGAAUCAGCACGGGUAAUCGCAAGGUCAAUCUGGAAGCCUUCUGUCCACUUAACAGCAACACCGGCAGCACGGGUAAUUACAGCAACACCGGCACGGGUAAUCGCAAAGUCAAUCUGGAGGCCUCACAGCAACACCGGCAAAUAAAUCAGAAAGGAAUCAUCACGGGCAUACACCGGAAAGAAAUCAGCACGGGUAUACACCGGCAAAGAUCAGCACGGGCAUCCGGCAACAAAGAUCAGCACGGGUGUCCGGCAAAGAAAUCAGCAGGGGUAACUGCAAAGCCAAGCCUUCUGUCGACUCUUAGUAAUAAGCUCUCUCCUGUAACAUAACACUAGACUGUUCUUCUUUAUACUGUAUUAACACUGGACUAUCUUUUAUACUGUGCUAAAAAAAGAAGUUCAUUUCUUUUAUAUUGUGCUAAAGAAAGAAGCUUAUUUACAGUUUAAGAUAUGUUGACUCCGUCUUCAUUAUGCAACUGCGUCCUUGAAUUGCUUUACUAAAAAGUGGACCACGGGAACUGGCCAGGUUCCCAGAUCUGGGUUCAAG
rnacentral:lncRNA from 1 species